ensembl:lncRNA
CCGAUGCUUCCUGGGAUAGGCUCCAGGUUCCCCGUGACCCUGAAGGAAGGAUAAGCAGUGAUGGAUGGAUGGAUAACUUGCUUAUUACCUGCUUAUAAUUUGGACUUGUCAGUGUAGCAAUAACUGCGUGAGGUCUGUGCAAUCACGCCACACACUGUAUCUAGUCUAAUCUGUGAAAGUUCGGGUGUUGACGCUGGGGUAUGCUGAUAGUGAUGCGGUUUGGUUUGGGACGGAGCUGCUGUCCGUGUAAUUUAGGAAGCCGUUUGGGAUUUUAGUGAGGAGUGCAGAUGCAGCGAGGACUUGCGCUUUAAGCCCGUCCCAAAUCAUCAUGAAGGGGGGCGCGGACACUCCAAAACUCCAGUGCGUAAAAGUUGAUCCACAUGGGUUAUGCGCGCACACCGGGCAUCCGCGUGAAGGCUUUUUAAUCCGAUUUUUUCCUUCUUAUUAAAAAAAAUUAAAUGCCUCCUUAACACCGCGGAUUUUAUCCUUCAAGACCUGUCAGGAUUGGAGUGAUUGAAGUGUUUUCUGUGGACUGACCGAUGGAAACAUGAGCCGAUUUUAUUAUCGCAUGCUUCUUUUCCCAUUUACUCUCUUCAGUACUGUUUUACUUCCGACUUCUGGAAAAUCCCAAAAUGAAGCUGACAGAAACGGAGAAGAAUGUCCUGACAAUAAGAUUUUAACAGUGGAGUAUCCGUGUAUCAGAGCAGGAGGAGAGCGUGGCACAUGCCUCAGGAGGAAGUGCUGUAAAGGUUUCAGGUUCGUCAUGGGCCAGUGUGUACCAGAAAGUAGGUAAAAUCUUGUUUUGUUUUAUUUUUUAAAUUCUCAUCAGCUUUUUAAAUUCACACACUCUGCGGUUAUUAAAACUGAUUAACUACAUGUUCUCAGUUCGUUUCAUUAUAUUUCAUUAUAUUUGAUCAAUCGAC